AGCCUGCAACUCGACUACAUGAAGCUGGAAUCGCUAGUAAUCGCAGAUCAGAAUGCUGCGGUGAAUACGUUCCCGGGUCUUGUACACACCGCCCGUCACACCAUGGGAGUCGGAAAUGCCCGAAGCCGGUGACCCAACCAAAAGGAGGGAGCCGUCGAAGGCAGGUCUGAUAACUGGGGUGAAGUCGUAACAAGGUAGC
rnacentral:rRNA from 1 species